rfam:Salmo salar isolate Sally breed double haploid chromosome ssa14, whole genome shotgun sequence.
UGUACGCAUGACUGUAAGUCGCUUUGGAUAAAAACGUUUGCUAAAUGGCUUAUA